rnacentral:rRNA from 1 species
UCUGCCUAGUAGUGGGGGAUAACUUGCCGAAAGGUAAGCUAAUACCGCAUACGUCCUACGGGAGAAAGGAGGGGACCUUCGGGCCUUUCGCUAUUAGAUGAGCCUAGGUCGGAUUAGUUAGUUGGUGAGGUAAUGGCUCACCAAGACCGCGAUCCGUAACUGGUCUGAGAGGAUGAUCAGUCACACUGGAACUGAGACACGGUCCAGACUCCUACGGGAGGCAGCAGUGGGGAAUAUUGGACAAUGGGGGGAACCCUGAUCCAGCCAUGCCGCGUGUGUGAAGAAGGUCUUAGGAUUGUAAAGCACCUUAAGUUGGGAGGAAGAGCAGUCAACUAAUAUUUGACUGUUUUGACGUUACCGGCAGAAUAAGCACCGGCUAACUUCGUGCCAGCAGCCGCGGUAAUACGAAGGGUGCAAGCGUUAAUCGGAAUUACUGGGCGUAAAGCGCGCGUAGGUGGUUCAGUAAGUUAGGAGUGAAAGCCCCGGGCUUAACCUGGGAAUUGCUUCUAAAACUGCUGAGCUAGAGUACGGUAGAGGGUGGUGGAAUUUCCUGUGUAGCGGUGAAAUGCGUAGAUAUAGGAAGGAACAUCAGUGGCGAAGGCGACUUUCUGGACUGACCCUGACGCUGAGGUGCGAAAGCGUGGGUAGCAAACAGGAUUAGAUACCCUGGUAGUCCACGCUGUAAACGAUGGAUACUA